rnacentral:lncRNA from 1 species
AACUCUGGGUGACCUGACCACACCGGGUCUGUGUUCCCAAGUGCCGCCGGAAGCUGACUGCAGCUGCCCCCUGUAGCCAGGGCAUGUGUGGGGACUGCUCUGACAACUGUCCCCCACUCCCGCAGUGCCCAGUGCCCGACACCCUGGGGAGUCACUGCCACCCCGGAGGGGCCACCAAUUCAACAUGUGACAACCCGAAGUGGAGGGAAGCAGAGGAGGAAGAGACGGAGGGGGACACACAGAUGGAAACUGAGCCCAAGAACCAAGAGUGAGCCUGAGGACCACAGCGAGGGACAGCGGGAGAGGGAGGCAGCAGGCAGACGGAGGCGAGGAGCGAUUCCUUGGGCAUCUUAAGUCACUCUCUGGCCCCUGAGCAGCUGUCUCGUUUAGGGAAAAGCCCACCUCCCCUGCCACUGGGUUCCUGGCAACCUCUGGUGGCUUCUUCCUCCUCCUUCUGCCGCCAGGAUGCAGGGGUCCCCACAGGCGAGAGGCUGAACUCAGAGCUGGCCAGGUGAGAAGCGAAGCACCGAACCACUGAAAUCUCCAGGAGACCACACUGGGUGGCAGAUGUGACAGCAACCCUCUGACCUCACGGGGCGCUGCCGUCCCAGCACAACCAGAACAAGGUGUGCCGAUGCCGGGAGCAGUGCAAACGGCCCUGGACGGGGAUGCAGAGGGCUCCGGAUCAGCCUGGGGCUCGCUGUGGGGCCCUGCUGUCAUCCCUUGGAAAUGGGUACACCCCCGGCAUAUUGAGGGGGAGGCACGCAGAGGAACAAACGUGAUAAAUGCAUCCAUGGGCUGCAAAUCGGGGGCCGCUCGGACAGCUGUCCCCCACUCCUGCAGUGCUCGCUGCCUGGCACUGUGAGGAGUCACUGCCACCCCCGAGGGGCCACCAAUUCAACAUGUGACAGGCCGAAGUGGAGGGAAGCAGAGGAGAGAGGAAGACAUAGAGGGAAACUGAACCCAAGACCCAAAAGUGAGCCGGAGGACCACAGCGGGAGAGGGAGGCAGCAGGCAGACGGAAGCGAGGAGACAGGGCGCAGAGGGGCUGCGGGGGGUGCUGGGCACACCUGGCUGAGGAAGGGACCAAAGGCCCAGAGGGUCCCAUAGUCUCAGCCUAGUACCUGUCCCCAAGCCCAGGGGCCCUGAUCACAAGGCAGCAACGUCUAUCCCACAGCUGUGAUAGGUGGGGCACAUCACACCCCGAGGGGCCCCGGCAUCCAUGAUCUCCCCUCCUGGAGGGUGGUCAGCCGCCAUCCUGGCCCCGGACUCCUUGGAAAUGCUCCACAAAGUGCCAGCUGGAAAUGUCACAGCACAGGGGGCCUUGGGAUGAGCCAGCCCCAAGGGGCCAUUCUUUCCUGUGGGUUUGGGGAACUCUUUUAAGAUCUGGAGUGCAGAUUCGGGUUCCAGUGCCUGCUCUGUGUCUUCCUAGCCUUAGUUUCACCUCCUGGGGCCUCAAUUUCUCCAUCAGUAAAAUGGGGACAGUAACCGUCAUAGCACCAGCUCUCAGGCUUCUCAGGGGAGCAGACAGUGAAGCAGUGCACAGAAGUCCUUGGUAAUCCAAGAAGCACCCUCUGGACGGAGCUGCCAGGACAGCCCGCAGCCACCCUGGACUGACCCGUGGGGCUGGGGGCAGCUGGGGAGGCCAAGCGUGUGCACACGGGCACCAGCAGCAGAGCAGACCCCCAGUCUCCUCUCUCAUACCCGAGAUGGGAGAUGAAGACUCCCCUGUGAGUUCCAAACUCCUCCAACCAGUUCUGGCAGGGAAGAAAGGGAGUCCUGGGAAAGCAACUCCCAUGCCUGGGGCUCGGCGGUGACCCACCCAGCCCCUCCCCGGCAGAGGCACUGGUUGCCCUGGAAACUCACCUCGGUGGUGGCCGGUGCUGGCAGAGGUGCCAGCCAAGGUGUCGGGCUUUGGAGAGCGGCACGACGGGCGACGGCCCUUCUCCUGGCGGUCACCACAGAGACACAGGCAAAGAACACAGAGCCCUUCCUCCCCCUGGGCACGGCAGGCCUGGCACAAACCUGGCCUGCUUCCCGGGCCAUGGUGGGGCGAGAGCCAGGUGGGGAGUGGGCCCUGCGGGAGGCCCUCUGCCAGUGUGCUCGUCGCCUGCGUGCCCUAGUGGAGUGGAGCACCCGAGUGCCUGGGCCUGGUGUCACCCGCGUGGCUGUCAUACCUGCUGCUGUGACAGGCAGGACCAGGAAUUCCCGCUUGUACCAGGCCAUGGGCCAGCCGAGGACGAGUGGAGAGGCUGCCCCAAGCUAGCCUAGCUUUCUCCCUUAAUUCUCCAAGUCCCCACUCCCAUUCCCCCUGUGUCGGGGGCCUGGAAACCACCACACAGAGCCAGAAAGGUGACAGAUACAAGUAACCAAAUCAAAACAGGGUUCGGUCAGCAGAGCCACCAGGCGGAUGUGAGUCUAGCCAGAGGCACUGGGAGGCAGGCAGGAGACCCCACUCACUUGUUCUGGAAGGCUUCCCUGCCCCCUAGACCUGAGCUCUUCCAUCCCUGGCACCCAGGCACGAGAUUUCCUUUCUUCUUUUUUUUUUUUUUUUUUUCCCUGAGAUGGAAUCUCGCUCUGUCGCCCAGGCUGGAGUGCAGUGGUGCGACCUCGGCUCACUAUAACCUCUACCUCCCGGUUCAAGUGAUUCUCCUGCCUCAGCCUCCCAGGUAUCUGGGAUUACAGGCACAUGCCACCAUGCUCGGCUAAUUUUUUUUUGAGACAUCGUCUCACUCUGUCACCCAGGCUGGAGUGCAGUGGCAUGGUCUCGGCUCACUGCACCUCUGCCUCCCGGGUUCAAGCGAUUCUCCUGCCUCAGCCUCCUGGGUAGCUGGGACUACAGGCGCAUGCCACCACACCCAGCUAAUUUUUGUAUUUUUAGUAGAGAUGGGGCUUCACUACAUUGGCCAGGCUGGUCUCAAACUCCUGACCUCGUGAUAUGCCUGCCUCAGCCUCCCAAAGUGCUGGGAUUACAGGCAUGAGCCACCACACUCAGCCACUUGGCUAAUUUUUUUGUAUUUUUAUUAGAGAUGGGGUUUUGCCAUGUUGGCCAGGCUGGUUCGAACUCCUGACCUCAGGUGAUCCACCUGCCUUGGCCUCCCAAAGUGGUAAGAUUACAGGUGUGAGCCACCGCACCCGGCCACAAGAUUUCAUUUUAACUGGGCGCAGGGGUGGGGGAUGCCAAUGGUUUGUUUCAUUAAGUAGGGUGGUAAAAAAUAAUAAUAUUACCACCACUACUCCCACCAUUCAGAAAAAACACCACCAAAGGUAACAAGAAAGGGCUGCCAUCAGAAAGAAGGGCAGGCUUGAAAUGAGUACAUUUGGCUUUUAGAAUAAUUUACUAGAGUGACUACUGGAGUUGUAAACAACCACCACCACCACCACAACAAUACAACAACUUACUACCUUGUCCCUGUUUUUCUCAUUUUGCUGCAAACCAGACAUUGGAAGCCAUCAGACGCAUCCAACACACCCGUCUGACAAGUGGAAAGACUGAGCCCCAGAGAGAGCAGGGACUUGCCCAAGAUCUCACAGGAAAAGUGUCUGUCCAGCUGCUCUGCAAAGCUUGCAGACGCUCCUUCCAUCCUGACCUGGGGGCCAGAACACUCAGAGCCCCAACCCCAAAGCCCAGAGAUGCCAGGGCGAAGUCAGAGGCCAAGAGUCUCAGCUACUUCCUUACCUUCCUGGGAACCUGGCCGGGUGGAUGCCCA